UACGUAGGGGGGCAAGCGUUGUCCGGAAUUAUUGGGCGUAAAGCGCGCGCAGGCGGUCAUUUAAGUCUGGUGUAUAAACCAAGGGCUCAACCUUUGGACGCAUUGGAAACUGGGUGACUGGAGUGUAGGAGAGGAAAGUGGAAUUCCACGUGUAGCGGUGAAAUGCGUAGAGAUGUGGAGGAACACCAGUGGCGAAGGCGACUUUCUGGCCUAUAACUGACGCUGAGGCGCGAAAAGCGUGGGGAGCAAACAGG
rnacentral:rRNA from 1 species